GUGUUCGUUAUUUAGGGCGCAUGGUGGAUGCCUUGGCAUGCUGAGCCGAUGAAGGACGUGUAAGGCUGCGUUAAGCCUCGGGGAGUUGUCAAUAAAGCGUUGAUCCGAGGAUGUCCGAAUGGGGAAACCUGGCACCUGUUAUGGGGUGUUACCCUUCAGUGAAUUCAUAGCUGUUGUGGGGGUUUACGCGGGGAAGUGAAACAUCUCAGUACCCGUAGGAGAAGAAAAUAAAAUUAUGAUUCUGCUAGUAGUGGCGAACGAACGUGGAUGAGGCUAAACCGUGUGCAUGUGAUACUUGGUAGGGGUUGUGUGUGCGGUGUUGUGGGCCCCAAUGGGGCCUGACCCCCGGAAGGUAGACACGUCGGGGGUUAGCUAUGCUGCUUGGGUCAGUGUAGCUGAUGUGAGUUCUUCGAAGUCAUCGGGGGCUAGAAGGUUGCACCAGGAGUGUCGUCUGCGCGUGUUGUAGCGCAUGCACCAUCGGAAGACUUCUUGGCGGCAGAUGAUGGGAUUGUCAAAGACUUUCCGAUCACGCAGAACUUCACGCUUUAGGGUGGCGUUAAAUGAUUCUGCCAGGGCAUUAUCGGCACUCGUUCCCACUGCUCCCAUGGAUUGGCGAACACCAAGUACAGCGCAGUGCUCUCUAAAUGCUUGUGAGGUGUACACACUGCCGUGAUCGGAAUGGAAAAUUGCCCCUUUAAGGCUUCCGCGGACUUUUCUGGCAUGAGAUAAAGCUUCGAUAACCAGCGAUACCCGCAUGUGGUCAGCGAGUGCAUGGCCGACGAGCUUGCGUGAGUAAACGUCAAUGACCGUGGCUAGGUACAUGUUCUUGCCGCCCUUACACGGCAGGUAGGUGAUAUCGCCUACGUAGACGUGGUUUGGCCUGUCAGCUGUGAAUUUGCGGCCUAUUAAAUCUGGCAUGACUCGACGGCCAGGCUUGCGCCUGGUGGUGAUGCAUCGACGCCGUUUAGUAAAGCCUUUUAGCCCCAUGGAUUUCAUGAUGCGUGCGACCUUCUUGUGAUUGAUCGGAGGAAAGUCCGUAUCGUCGUUGAGGCUUGCAGCGAUGCGUUUAGCACCAUAAAGCCCGUGCUCAUUAUCGAAGAUGGUCUUGAUUCUCGCACCAAUAAGGGCAUCGGAACACGUCUUUAACCUGCGUUUUUCGCGGGUGUUGACCCAUUUGUAGAACGAGGAGCGAUUGAGCUUUAACACGUGGCACAUCCGCUUGACCGAGUAUUCGGUUCGGUGGUCAUCGACAAACUGGAAGCGGAUUACCAGCGUGUCUCUUCGGCAAAAUAUUUCGCGGCCUUGCGCAGGAUGUCGCGUUCUUCGCGCAGCUUUGCGUUUUCUUUUUCUAGCUGGCGGAUCCGCUCAGAAUCGGUUGUCGCCUGAGUCUUGUCACGCAUGGUCUUCGUGCGGGCACGCUUUCCGGUGCCGUACUGCUUGAUCCAGGAAUAAAGUGAGGAGCGAUUGACUCCAAGCUCUGCUGAAGCCGCGUGAAGUGAGAGGUCCUCAUUGUUUUCGUAGAGGGCCACAGCAUCACGUUUGAACUGUUCGGAGUACCUAGGCAUGGUGGUAGAUUACCUUUCUUCCCAACCCAACUGGGCUGGAUAUCAGGUGUCUACCAAACAGGGGUCAGGUCCAUGGGCGGUGACUACCAUCAUCGUGCUUGUGUGUUGUUGUUAGGUGAAGUGGUGUGGAAACGCCGACCGUAGAGGGUGAUAGUCCCGUAGUUGAAGGCUUCAAUGUGCAAGUUGUUGGGUUGCCCGAGUAGCAGCGGGCUCGUGGAAUCUGCUGUGAAUCUGCCGGGACCACCCGGUAAGCCUAAAUACUCAGUGUGACCGAUAGUGUAUUAGUACCGUGAGGGAAUGGUGAAAAGUACCCCGGGAGGGGAGUGAAAUAGUUCCUGAAACCAUGUGCUUACAAUCCGUCAGAGCACCUUUUUGUGUGUGAUGGCGUGCCUUUUGAAGAAUGAGCCUGCGAGUCAGCGGCAUGUCGCGAGGUUAACCCGUGUGGGGUAGCCGUAGGGAAACCGAAUCCUAAUGGGGUGUUGUCAGUGGCAUGUCCUGGACCCGAAGCGGGGUGAUCUACCCAUGGCCAGUGUGAAGCAGUAGUAAGAUGCUGUGGAGGCGCGAACCCACGUAGGUUGAAAACUGCGGGGAUGAGCUGUGGGUAGGGGUGAAAGGCCAAUCAAACUCCGUGAUAGCUGGUUCUCCCCGAAAUGCAUUUAGGUGCAGCGUCGCAUUAGCUUGGUGGAGGUAGAGCUACUGGUUGGUUGAGCGGGACUACAAUCUUAGCAAUGUCAGCCAAACUCCGAAUGCCAUCAAUUGUGUUGUGCGGCAGUGAGACUGUGGGGGAUAAGCUUCAUAGUCGAGAGGGAAACAGCCCAGAUCGCCGGUUAAGGCCCCUAAGGGUGUGCUAAGUGGAAAAGGAUGUGGGAUCGCGAAGACAGCCAGGAGGUUGGCUUAGAAGCAGCCAUCCUUGAAAGAGUGCGUAAUAGCUCACUGGUCGAGUGGUCCUGCGCCGACAAUGUAGUGGGGCUCAAGCACACCGCCGAAGCCGCGGCAAUACUUUUUGUAUUGGGUAGGGGAGCGUCGUGCAUGUGUUGAAGCGUUACCGUGAGGAGGCGUGGAGUGUGUGCGAGUGAGAAUGCAGGCAUGAGUAACGAAUUGGAAGGUGAGAAUCCUUCCCGCCGGUUGACUAAGGGUUCCUGGGUCAAGUUCGUCUUCCCAGGGUGAGUCGGGACCUAAGGCGAGGCCGACAGGCGUAGUCGAUGGAUAACCAGUUGAUAUUCUGGUACCCGUAUAUCCGCGCCCAUGAUGAAGCACUGAUACUAACCACCGCGGAUGCGACUGGGGUGUUCUUUGAACACGUUGGUUGUUGAUGUCGUGGGGCCUGAUGUGUGGUUCAAGUGAUGGGGUGACACAGUGUAGUAGCCAUGCCGCUGAGUGGAUUGUUGGUGUAAGCGUGUGAGGUGGUGUGUAGGCAAAUCCGCACACCGAGUAAGCCUGAGGCGUGAUGCGUAGCCCAUUGGGGUGAAGUUGGUGAUCUAGUACUGUCGAGAAAAGCCUCUAGCGAUGUGGAUGUAUGGCCCGUACCCUAAACCGACACAGGUGGUCAGGUUGAAAAUACUAAGGCGUUCGGGUGAACUGUGGUUAAGGAACUCGGCAAAAUGCCCCCGUAACUUCGGGAGAAGGGGGACCACACGACUUAAGCCAACCAAAGCGUUGGUGUGGGUUGUGGGGUCGCAGAGAAUAGAGGGAAGCGACUGUUUAUCAAAAACACAGGUCCAUGCGAAGACGUUAAGUUGAUGUAUAUGGACUGACGCCUGCCCGGUGCUGGAAGGUUAAGAGGACCGGUUAGUAGUCUUUGACUGCGAAGCUGAGAAUUUAAGCCCCAGUAAACGGCGGUGGUAACUAUAACCAUCCUAAGGUAGCGAAAUUCCUUGUCGGGUAAGUUCCGACCUGCACGAAUGGCGUAACGACUUCUCUGCUGUCUCAACCACAGGCCCGGUGAAAUUGCACUACGAGUAAAGAUGCUCGUUACGCGCGGCAGGACGAAAAGACCCCGGGACCUUCACUAUAGCUUGGUAUUGGUGUUCGGUUCGGUUUGUGUAGGAUAGGUGGGAGACUGUGAUGCAUGCACGCCAGUGUGUGUGGAGUCGUUGUUGAAAUACCACUCUGAUCGGAUUGGAUGUCUAACCUUGGCCCAUGAUCUGGGUUGGGGACAGUGCCUGGUGGGUAGUUUAACUGGGGCGGUUGCCUCCCAAAAUGUAACGGAGGCGCCCAAAGGUUCCCUCAGCCUGGUUGGCAAUCAGGUGGUGAGUGUAAGUGCACAAGGGAGCUUGACUGUGAGACAGACAUGUCGAACAGGGACGAAAGUCGGGACUAGUGAUCCGGCACCUACUUGUGGAUGUGGUGUCGCUCAACGGAUAAAAGGUACCCCGGGGAUAACAGGCUGAUCUUCCCCAAGAGUCCAUAUCGACGGGAUGGUUUGGCACCUCGAUGUCGGCUCGUCGCAUCCUGGGGCUGGAGUAGGUCCCAAGGGUUGGGCUGUUCGCCCAUUAAAGCGGCACGCGAGCUGGGUUCAGAACGUCGUGAGACAGUUCGGUCUCUAUCCGCCGCGCGCGUUGAAACUUGAAGAAGGCUGUCCCUAGUACGAGAGGACCGGGACGGACGUACCUCUAGUGUGCCAGUUGUUCCGCCAGGAGCAUGGCUGGUUGGCUACGUACGGAAGGGAUAACCGCUGAAAGCAUCUAAGCGGGAAGCCUGUUUUAAGAUGAGGUUUCAUUUGAGGUCCCCCAAAGACGAUGGGGUUGAUAGGCCAGACCUGGACGCACCGCAAGGUGUGAAGGCUACUGGUACUAAUAGACCAAAACAAACACAC
rfam:Corynebacterium aurimucosum ATCC 700975, complete genome.